rnacentral:tRNA from 2 species
GGCAGGGUAGCUCAGUUGGUAGAGCAGAGUCUUCAUAAGGCUAAGGUCGCGGGAUCGUGCCCCGCCCCUGCUA